UAAGAAUUUAAAAGUCGAACAGACUUAUUAUUAAGAAUACUGCUUCUUAUAAUUUUCUUAAUUCAACAUCGAGGUCGCAAAAUAUAAUAUAGAUAUGAACUCCCCAUUAAAAUUACGCUGUUAUCCCUAAGGUAACUAAGUCUUAUUUCCUGAGUAAGGAUCUAGAAUUACAUAAACAAAUGAUUUUUAAAACUAAAGUUAAUUAUUUAACUGCCACCCCAGCAAAAUAUAAUAUAUUUAUAUUAAAAAGUAUAUCACCACAAAACCUAAUAAUACUAAAUUAUAUAAAGUUCUAUAGGGUCUUAUCGUCCCAAUAAAUCAAUAAAGCAUUUUAACCUUAAAUUUAAAUUUUAAUAUUUAAAGAAAUAAAAUAUAAUUCUCAUACACCCAUUCAUACCAGCUUCCAAUCAAAAAACUAAUUACUAUGCUACCUUUGCACAGUCAAAAUACUGCAGCCAUUUAGAAAUUUAACCAUAGGGCAGAAGAUACUUUCUAUAAAACCA
rnacentral:rRNA from 1 species